UACGUAGGCAGCAAGCGUUGUUCGGAAUUACUGGGCGUAAAGAGUGUGUAGGCGGUGCUCUAAGUUCGGUGUGAAAUCUCCCGGCUCAACUGGGAGGGUGCGCCGAAAACUGGAGUGCUGGAGCGCGGGAGAGGAAAGCGGAAUUCCUGGUGUAGCGGUGAAAUGCGCAGAUAUCAGGAGGAACACCAAUGGCGAAGGCAGCUCGCUGGGACGGUACUGACGCUGAGACGCGAAAGCGUGGGGAGCAAACAGG
rnacentral:rRNA from 1 species